AAAGGUUGACCUCGGAUCAGGUAGG
rnacentral:rRNA from 1 species